UGGGGAAUCUUCCGCAAUGGACGAAAGUCUGACGGAGCAACGCCGCGUGAGUGAUGAAGGAUUUCGGUCUGUAAAGCUCUGUUGUUUAUGACGAACGUGCAGUGUGUGAACAAUGCAUUGCAAUGACGGUAGUAAACGAGGAAGCCACGGCUAACUACGUGCCAGCAGCCGCGGUAAUACGUAGGUGGCGAGCGUUGUCCGGAAUUAUUGGGCGUAAAGAGCAUGUAGGCGGCUUAAUAAGUCGAGCGUGAAAAUGCGGGGCUCAACCCCGUGUGGCGCUGGAAACUGUUAGGCUUGAGUGCAGGAGAGGAAAGGGGAAUUCCCAGUGUAGCGGUGAGAUGCGUAGAUAUUGGGAGGAACACCAGUGGCGAAGGCGCCUUUCUGGACUGUGUCUGACGCUGAGAUGCGAAAGCCAGGGUAGCGAACGGG
rnacentral:rRNA from 1 species